CGACGUGUAGCUCAGUUAGCCAGAGCGCCAGACUCGGGAUCUGGAGGGCGCGGGGGCGGGACCCGCCAUGUCGGCCA
rnacentral:tRNA from 1 species